GAGUUUGAUCUUGGCUCAGAUUGAACGCUGGCGGCAUGCCUUACACAUGCAAGUCGAACGGCAGCAUGAUCUAGCUUGCUAGAUUGAUGGCGAGUGGCGAACGGGUGAGUAAUACAUCGGAACGUGCCCUGUAGUGGGGAUAACUAGUCGAAAGAUUAGCUAAUACCGCAUACGACCUGAGGGUGAAAGUGGGGGACCGCAAGGCCUCAUGCUAUAGGAGCGGCCGAUGUCUGAUUAGCUAGUUGGUGGGGUAAAGGCCCACCAAGGCGACGAUCAGUAGCUGGUCUGAGAGGACGAUCAGCCACACUGGGACUGAGACACGGCCCAGACUCCUACGGGAGGCAGCAGUGGGGAAUUUUGGACAAUGGGCGAAAGCCUGAUCCAGCAAUGCCGCGUGUGUGAAGAAGGCCUUCGGUUG
rnacentral:rRNA from 1 species